rnacentral:rRNA from 1 species
CUAACACAUGCAAGUCGAACGGUAACAUUUCUAGCUUGCUAGAAGAUGACGAGUGGCGGACGGGUGAGUAAUGCUUGGGAACUUGCCUUUGCGAGGGGGAUAACAGUUGGAAACGACUGCUAAUACCGCAUAAUGUCUUCGGACCAAACGGGGCUUCGGCUCCGGCGCAAAGAGAGGCCCAAGUGAGAUUAGCUAGUUGGUAAGGUAACGGCUUACCAAGGCGACGAUCUCUAGCUGUUCUGAGAGGAAGAUCAGCCACACUGGGACUGAGACACGGCCCAGACUCCUACGGGAGGCAGCAGUGGGGAAUAUUGCACAAUGGGGGAAACCCUGAUGCAGCCAUGCCGCGUGUGUGAAGAAGGCCUUCGGGUUGUAAAGCACUUUCAGUUGUGAGGAAAAGUUAGUAGUUAAUACCUGCUAGCCGUGACGUUAACAACAGAAGAAGCACCGGCUAACUCCGUGCCAGCAGCCGCGGUAAUACGGAGGGUGCGAGCGUUAAUCGGAAUUACUGGGCGUAAAGCGCACGCAGGCGGUUUGUUAAGCUAGAUGUGAAAGCCCCGGGCUCAACCUGGGAUGGUCAUUUAGAACUGGCAGACUAGAGUCUUGGAGAGGGGAGUGGAAUUCCAGGUGUAGCGGUGAAAUGCGUAGAUAUCUGGAGGAACAUCAGUGGCGAAGGCGACUCCCUGGCCAAAGACUGACGCUCAUG